AGAGCCUUCCUAUUGCAACUGAAAGUACUUUGCCCUUCCACGUAUAGACUAUAAUAUCCUACGAUGAUUGCUCGCUCUCAGCCGUAUGAUGUCUGUCGUCCUCCUCCACGCCUCUUUGUUAUUUUUUAAGAUUCACGCAAAUCUGACCCCUUCUCUCAAUUGCAAUGAUAGGAAACGAUAAGAAGUUUGAUUUUCGUGAAAAGGAGGUUUGAUAUUCGAUUUAGGGUUUAUUAUUUAUCAUCAAUAAAAGUUAAUGAAUUUUAUAUUUAGGCAACUAAAGUUUGGGUUUGAUUUUGUAGUAGGGAUUUGUUGAAGGUUAGUGAGAAAAGUAUUAUGGCUCUCCUUUAAACAUGAGAAUUUUUGUGUUGAUGUUGAAGGUUAGUGAUUUGUGUUGUUUAUUGAAGUUUUUAAUGGUCACCUGUUCUUAAGAACAUAUCUAAUUGCUACUCAAAGCAGAGCAACCAAGAACAAAUCCCUUUUUGUUAUUUAAGUAUUCGAAAAUGGCUUCUUUCAA